GACUCCAUCAUUAUAUUUUGUUAAGUAUUUGAUGGGUAAAUUGUAAGUUAAACUAUGGAACCUUACUGACACCUAGUGGACAUAGUUUACAUAUUUAAUUUGGUCAGUCAAGCAGAACUCGUCCAGCUGUACGAUUGGUGUCUUCGUCUGUCAUUCAGACACGUUUGUUCCUUGGACACUAUUUGUCUUUUUACAAAAUAGAAUAAAGGAAAAGAAAAGAAAAGGAAAGAAAAACAAACCAGCAAAGAGUUGCAAAAUAAAACAAGAAAACUAUCAAGGACUGGAUUAUUUUCAACUCAAGUGUUAGCCAGCUGUCUAGCUUUGUAAGAGCAACACAUCGUGAGGGCAGCAUACUGCUGUUUCAUGAGUUCU